rnacentral:tRNA from 19 species
AUUUAUAAAGGUUAUAAUCCUUUUCUUUUUA